GACGAACGCUGGCGGCGUGCCUAAUACAUGCAAGUCGAACGAGAGCGCCCGGUGCUUGCACUGGUCAAUCUAGUGGCGAACGGGUGAGUAACACGUGGGUAACCUGCUCAUCAGAGGGGGAUAACAUCCGGAAACGGAUGCUAAAACCGCAUAGGUCUUCGAGCCGCAUGGCUUGAAGAGGAAAAGAGGCGCAAGCUUCUGCUGAUGGAUGGACCCGCGGUGCAUUAGCUAGUUGGUGAGGUAACGGCUCACCAAGGCCGUGAUGCAUAGCCGACCUGAGAGGGUGAUCGGCCACAUUGGGACUGAGACACGGCCCAAACUCCUACGGGAGGCAGCAGUAGGGAAUCUUCCGCAAUGGACGCAAGUCUGACGGAGCAACGCCGCGUGAGUGAAGAAGGUUUUCGGAUCGUAAAACUCUGUUGUUAGAGAAGAACAAGCGCUAGAGUAACUGUUAGCGCCUUGACGGUAUCUAACCAGAAAGCCACGGCUAACUACGUG
rnacentral:rRNA from 1 species